rnacentral:rRNA from 1 species
UACGUAGGGUGCAAGCGUUGUCCGGAAUUAUUGGGCGUAAAGAGCUCGUAGGCGGUUUGUCGCGUCUGCUGUGAAAACUCGGGGCUUAACCCUGGGCCUGCAGUGGGUACGGGCAGACUAGAGUGCGGUAGGGGAGACUGGAAUUCCUGGUGUAGCGGUGAAAUGCGCAGAUAUCAGGAGGAACACCGGGGGCGAAGGCGGGUCGCUGGGCCGUAACUGACGCUGAGGAGCGAAAGCGUGGGGAGCGAACAGG